rnacentral:rRNA from 1 species
GAUGAACGCUGGCGGCGUGCUUAAUACAUGCAAGUCGAGCGAACGGACGAGGCGCUCGCUUUACUGAUGUUAGCGGCGGACGGGUGAGUAACACGUGGACAACCCACCUAUAAGACUGGGAUCACUUAGGGAAACUGGAGUUCAUACCGGAUAAUAUUUUGAACCGCAUGGUUCAAAAGUGAAAGCCGGUCUUGAUGUCCCUUAUAGAUGGAUCCGCGCUGCAUUAGCAAGUUGGUAAGGUAACGGCUUACCAUGGCAACGAUGCAUAGCCGACCUGGGAGGGGGUACGGCCACUCUGGAGCUGGAACACGGUCCUGAGUCCGACGGGAGGCAGCGGUAGGUAAUCUACCGCGAUGUGCGGAAGCCUGACGGAGCGGCGCCGCGUUGGUGAAGAGAGUCUGCGGAUCGUAUGACGCUGUUAUUAUGGAAGAACAUAUGUGUAAGUGACUGUGCACAUCGUGACGGUACCUAAACAGAAAGCCACGGCUAACUACGUG